AUUGAACGCUGGCGGCAGGCCUAACACAUGCAAGUCGAACGAGUGGCGGAGGGGUGAGUAAUGUCUGGGACACUGCCUGAUGGAGGGGGAAAACAACUGGACAGGGUAGCUAACACCGCAUACCAUCAGAUGUGCCCAGAUGGGAUUAGCUUGUGGGUGGGGUAACGGCUCACCAAGGCGACGAUCCCUAGCUGGUCUGAGAGGAUGACCAGCCACACUGGAACUGAGACACGGUCCAGACUCCUACGGGAGGCAGCAGUGGGGAAUAUUGCACAAUGGGCGCAAGCCUGAUGCAGCCAUGCCGCGUGUAUGAAGAAGGCCUUCGGGUUGUAAAGUACUUUCAGCGGGGAGGCGUUACCCGCAGAAGAAGCACCGGCUAACUCCGUGCCAGCAGCCGCGGUAAUAC
rnacentral:rRNA from 1 species